UACGGAGGGUGCAAGCGUUAUCCGGAUUCACUGGGCUUAAAGGGUGCGUAGGUGGGCAGGUAAGUCAGUGGUGAAAUCUCUGGGCUUAACCCAGAAACUGCCGUUGAUACUAUCUGUCUUGAAUAUAGUGGAGGUGAGCGGAAUAUGUCAUGUAGCGGUGAAAUGCUUAGAUAUGACAUAGAACACCCAUUGCGAAGGCAGCUCGCUACACUAUCAUUGACACUGAGGCACGAAAGCGUGGGGAGCAAACAGG
rnacentral:rRNA from 1 species